CUUCCGCGCUGGACCAUGCACAAGUCUCCUGGAAUGGAGCGUCAUAGAGGGUGAGAAUCCCGUCUUUGGCAUGGAUGCACCAGGGCUUUUGUGAUGCGCUCUCGAAGAGUCGAGUUGUUUGGGAAUGCAGCUCAAAAUGGGUGGUGAACUCCAUCUAAAGCUAAAUAUUGGCGAGAGACCGAUAGCGAACAAGUACCGUGAGGGAAAGAUGAAAAGCACUUUGGAAAGAGAGUGAAACAGUACGUGAAAUUGUUGAAAGGGAAACGCUUGAAGUCAGUCGCGUCGGCCAAGACUCAGCCUUGCCUUGGCUUGGUGUACUUCUUGGCCGACGGGUCAGCAUCAAUUUCGCCCCUUGGAUAAUGGCUAGGGAAAUGUGACACCUUUCAGGUGUGUUAUAGUCCUUUGUCACAUGCAAGGGUCAGGAUUGAGGAACUCAGCAUGCACCUUUGGGUGUCGGGGUUUUUGCCCAC
rnacentral:rRNA from 1 species